CAGGACUUAAAACUCUAUCUUAUUCACUUUGGUUUUUUAUUUCAGGCAAAGAGGUAAAUUUGUUUCCUGUUACUCCAGCUUGCUUGGAUGUGAAAUGGGGACUUUGAGAGGUGAUUACGUCAUAGGGACAGAGCCCUCAACAAUGAGUUUAGUGCCCUUAUGAAGAGAAACAUGAGAGAGAUGAUAACUUUCUAGACAAAAUGGGAAUACAAGGUGAAGAUAGCCACCUGCAAACUAUGAUGUAGGCCCUCACCAGACACUGAAUCUUCCUGGCCUUGAUUUUGGACUUCCUAGCCUCUAGAAUUGGUCUUGCUCUGUCGUCCAGGCUGAAGUGCACUGGCAUGAUCUCAGCUCAUUGCAACCUCCACCUUCUGGGCUCAAGCAAUCCUCUUACCUUAGCCUCCUGAGUAACUGAGACCACAAGCAUGCACCACCAUACCAGAAUUUGCUCUAUCCUCAACGUUGCAAAAUGUCUGGGCAUAGGCUGUGUUGCAUUUCUCACGUACAGUAUGAGCAGAGAAGCUUACCCAUUCUGUUGCAGCAGGUCCAGAGAAGUCUCACUGAAGUGCUUUGGUUUUUAUUGAAUUGCAUGCUUAUUAUGUCUGGACAAGAAGAUGUGUACAUGAAGAGGAUGUUUUGAUAGGCCUGACCUGAGAGCUGUAUGCUCACAAUAAAAGCUAGAGACACAGUCAUUUGACAUUAAAACAACUGAGAAAAGAUGAUGAAUCUUGAGAAGAAAUUGGGAUAUUAUGUACAAAAGAGGCGUUAUAAUACUUUAUGGCCAAAACGAAAACAAAAGAAAAAAAAAGCAAGAAAACAAACAAAAUCAAAAAACAAAAAAACUAGCAAUGUUCCACCAUAAAGUUUAAAUGGAUCUUACUUUGGUUCAGACUUUAGAAACGAUUGACAUCUGGGUUAUGUAUAUUUCACUUCCCACGUUCUGCACGGUAAUCUUCUAAACUUUAGCAACUUAUCUUAUUAAUUCCUUUAGGCUUGAUAUGAAGCCUGCCCCAGAUAAGUGCCUCAUAAAAGAAGAAUAAACAAAUGAAUGAAUAAAAGCAAAUGCCAUACUAUAGACUUUUGAGUAAAAAGAUUUUCUCUACAACAUAUUAAAAGAAUGAACCAGCAGAACAAACUUCAAACUUUAAAACAAUGUUGUUUAAGUUAGUCAUGUCUGAGAUGAUAAAUAAAUCAACAGGAGAAAAGUGAACUUCAAAACAUGUAUCUUUAGGAGGAUUUGAAUUGGAAAACCACUGACACUUAAUUGCUAAAGUGACUUUGACUAGUUAUUCAUCUAUGGAAUAGGAAGAAAACUUACUUGAUCGUGUUGGCAUGAUGAUUAAACAUGACUUAUGUACAUGCAAGUGCUGAGCACUAGUCUAUAACCUCUAUGGGCAUUGCGAUCACUAUGACAUAUCCAGAGACUAGCUCAAUUUCUAGUACAUUGGAGGCACUUGAUAAAUGUUUCCUUAAUUUGAAAUCUGAGAACAGGACAUUAAGCAACCUGAAGCAUCUGACAUUUGUCAUGUAGCCAAAUGCAUACUCAUUGAGCAAGAUGACUGAUGAUGAUUGGUCAUGAUGAUGACAGCAAUGAUGAUAAUGAUGACGAUAGUGAGGACGACAAACUCAUGCCUUGAUGUACUUUUUCAAGAGUUAGGUGUUUUCCUUUUAAUAUUUUUCAGAAUUUUUUUAACACAAUUGCACUCAGGAAUUGGAAUAUCAUUUGUAUUUCAUUUUUUAAAUCAGUGAGCAAAAUGA
rnacentral:lncRNA from 1 species